CUCUGAUUGCAGUAUAGUUACUUAGCUCAAAGAAAAGCACAUUGGAAAACUUGCUGAGCUCCCAGAACAUCAUAGUGAUAUGUUCUAUCCAACCUUGGUAAGUAAGUAAAUGGGCAUGACAGUUGCACAAUAUGAGCCAAGCAAUGGGUUCAGGCACAGCACUUUCUCUACCGAGCCAUUAUCCAUCAGUGCAUUAGCAUCUGCCGGCUGCAGCAUGGAAUCCAUUAGGUAACAAUAAAACAUCUGUAACAUAAAUAUAAAUAUAUAUAUAUUGUUUGCUGGUUUCUUUGUUAAUGGAAGCAGUGAAUGGAUCCUUCUUAGCAAGCGUUACCAUGAGGCUCAAGAUGAGCUGGAGUGGCAGGACAAAGUUUUAAAGACGUCUGAAAAGGCAACUCUCAAACAAAGUUGGGAAUGGAGGAGUUUGGAAAGUAGAAGAAGAAAAAUGACAGUGUGGUCUGAAGUGGAUCAGGCAAGGCAAGGCUGAGGGUCAGGAGGGAGUUGGUAGAGCAGGGUGUUCUAGAGGACCUUUGGGAAGGGCAGGGGGUUCUCGAGAGGACCUUUGGGAAGGGCAGGGGGUUCUAGAGGACCUUUGGGAAAGGCAGGGGGUUCUCCAGAGAAACUUUGGGAAGGGCAGGGGGUUCUGGACAACCUUUGGGAAGGGCAGGGCAUACUAGAGGCGCUUUGGGAAGGGCAGGGGUUGUAGAGGAGCUUUGGGAAGGGCAGGAGGGUUCUAGAGAAGCCUUGGGAAGGGUAGGGGGUUCUAGAAAAGCUUUAGGAAGGGCAGCUUGGGGGAGAAGAGAUUGGUGAGGAGAAGAUGUUGGUACAGGCAGAGAUGGACAGAAUACUCUAUCAGGAUCUAGAUAAACAGCAAGCCAAUCUAGUCUGGACUUUAUUAUUCUGCUUCUUUCCUAGGAAAACAAAUGCUGCCACCUGCUGUCAAACAUACUGCAUCGGCAAAGUUAGAAGCAAUCAAAGUGCUGUAUAUCCAUGUAUGUCCAUGAGGAUAUUAGAUGAAACGCUUCAUCCAUCGUAAUGAAAGAGCCAAGAACCUCAACCUGUUAGAAAACUAGUAAAAUAUACAGAUUCUUUUUGUAAA